rnacentral:rRNA from 1 species
CAGCCGCCGCGGGAAAACGGAGGGGGCUAGCGUUGUUCGGAAUUACUGGGCGUAAAGCGCACGUAGGCGGCUUGGUAAGUUAGAGGUGAAAGCCUGGAGCUCAACUCCAGAAUUGCCUUUAAGACUGCCGAGCUAGCAGGUGAGAGAGGUAAGUGGAAUUCCGAGUGUAGAGGUGAAAUUCGUAGAUAUUCGGAAGAACACCAGUGGCGAAGGCGGCUUACUGGCUCAUACUGGACGCUGAGGUGCGAAAGCGUGGGGAGCAAACAGGAUUAGAUACCCGCGUAGUCCCUGUCUCUUAUAC